GGCCAUGCGGCGGCUACCAUGCAAGUCGAGCGGUAACAGGGGUAGCUUGCUACCCGCUGACGAGCGGCGGACGGGUGAGUAAUGCAUAGGAAUCUGCCCGAUAGUGGGGGAUAACCUGGGGAAACCCAGGCUAAUACCGCAUACGUCCUACGGGAGAAAGGGGGCUCCGGCUCCCGCUAUUGGAUGAGCCUAUGUCGGAUUAGCUAGUUGGUAAGGUAAUGGCUUACCAAGGCAACGAUCCGUAGCUGGUCUGAGAGGAUGAUCAGCCACAUCGGGACUGAGACACGGCCCGAACUCCUACGGGAGGCAGCAGUGGGGAAUAUUGGACAAUGGGGGCAACCCUGAUCCAGCCAUGCCGCGUGUGUGAAGAAGGCCCUCGGGUUGUAAAGCACUUUCAGCGAGGAAGAACGCCUAUCGGUUAAUACCCGGUAGGAAAGACAUCACUCGCAGAAGAAGCACCGGCUAACUCCGUGCCAGCAGCCGCGGUAAUACGGAGGGUGCAAGCGUUAAUCGGAAUUACUGGGCGUAAAGCGCGCGUAGGUGGCUUGAUAAGCCGGUUGUGAAAGCCCCGGGCUCAACCUGGGAACGGCAUCCGGAACUGUCAGGCUAGAGUGCAGGAGAGGAAGGUAGAAUUCCCGGUGUAGCGGUGAAAUGCGUAGAGAUCGGGAGGAAUACCAGUGGCGAAGGCGGCCUUCUGGACUGACACUGACACUGAGGUGCGAAAGCGUGGGUAGCAAACAGGAUUAGAUACCCUGGGUAGUCA
rnacentral:rRNA from 1 species